GAAGAAUAAUAUAUGAACAUAUAAGGGUGUAAGGAUUUUUAAAUGAGAUUUUUAAAAAUCUUUUUUCUGGCUUCAUUGUCCAGCGGACCUGAGGAUCACAACAGCUCCUAAUAACAUCCAGGUGUCUGAGGGCAGCACAGCUCUGCUCCCCUGUGUAGUGUCAGGAGACAACAUUAAUAUCGGCUGGUCCAGAAAUGGUGUACCGGUGCGUCCAGAUGGUCGUAACAUCCUCAUGUCAUCUGACGGCAGCUUGAUCCUAAAUAAUGUAAAACCAUCAGACGAGGGAACCUAUACCUGUAACGCUUACACUGGCAUCUACUCUGUGAGCGCCACAGCUGAAGUGAGGGUCAUUAAAGACACACAACAAGGUGAUUAUGUGCCGCCAG